rnacentral:rRNA from 1 species
GACGAACGCUGGCGGCGUGCUUAACACAUGCAAGUCGAGCGGUAAGGCCUUCGGGUACACGAGCGGCGAACGGGUGAGUAACACGUGGGUGAUCUGCCUUGCACUUCGGGAUAAGCCUGGGAAACUGGGUCUAAUACCGGAUAUGACUGCGAAUCGCAUGGUUUGUGGUGGAAAGAUUUAUCGGUGCGAGAUGGGCCCGCGGCCUAUCAGCUUGUUGGUGGGGUAAUGGCCUACCAAGGCGACGACGGGUAGCCGGCCUGAGAGGGCGACCGGCCACACUGGGACUGAGACACGGCCCAGACUCCUACGGGAGGCAGCAGUGGGGAAUAUUGCACAAUGGGCGGAAGCCUGAUGCAGCGACGCCGCGUGGAGGAUGACGGCCUUCGGGUUGUAAACUCCUUUCGCCAGGGACGAAGCGCAAGUGACGGUACCUGGAGAAGAAGCACCGGCCAACUACGUGCCAGCCGCCGCCGUAAAAC